GUGGUAAGGGUGCAGCAAGUCCCCCGAUUGAUCAAAUCAUUUAUUGGCACAGCUCGCCAGCUCCAUGUGGAAGCAGUACCAGCAGUUGCACAUGCUGCCAGAUCAAGGUAACCGAAACAGGAAUUAACUAGUAGGACUGCUACUUCUGACCGAAUGGAAUAAGCGCAAACCAGUUUCUAAAGACGCGAGAUGCCAAAAGCUUUCUGAAGUCUUCAAUCAAAAAAAUCAAAGCUUGAACGUGGAGGGAAUACGUGUUCUCGUGGAAAGGUUCUUUACAGGGAUAUAAAGAAACCAGCUGUGGACGACUUCGAUGACUUCGGCAGAAUCGCGCAAAACUUUCUAUAAUCUUUUGGUUUCCUUCUUCCUCCACAUGGAGUGAUUCGCGUCUCCUCGGCGCGUUGGUUUGGAAAACAAGGUCUGAACGGAUUCUAUCGGGGAGCCUUUGGGAAAAGACUUCGGAACAGUUUGGAAUAUAAGUUCAACUCUAGAAUACCAGCUCAGCCCUCUGAGCGGAGCUCUCCUCCCCUCUGCAGCCCCAGUGCUGCUGGUUCUGCGCCCGCUGGAGGAGUGGAGGCCGGCUGCUGUGUGGUAGCGGCUGCUGUGGUCAGCACGUCAGCAGGCCGUGAGACUCGCAUGAUGGAACACUGCUUAGUGCUAUCCACAACUUCUGUCCAGCUUCUGUUGCACCGGCUGGUUUGACGUCCUGCCAUCACAAUAUUACGAAUGAAAAAACAUUCUUGUGGGUCUAAAUAUAUUUUGCAAUAUUGAAUAUUCUGAAAAUGGCAAGGAAAAGGUUUUGCUUACAUUGUAAUAUAAGUUCAAUAGGUCUGAAGUUACAAGGGCCUUUAUAUGUGAGCUGAGGUCGUGAUCUACAAUCGUAGGAGCUAAAUUGUGAUGCAAAGACCAACCAUUUCCUAUGGUUGGACACAUCUUUCCAUAUAAAUUCAUUAACCGUACAAACACUUCCAGUGUAACCGAAAACAUAGGCCUGCGUGAAGUGAUGGGGCGUGAACUAAAACCAAAUGGAGAUGAACUUUCAUCCGGAGACUAAAUGUGAUUUCCCAAACAGGAGAAUUGAAUCAUCGGUCCAUUCUCUUGUUCUCAUGUGUCUGAGCACACUGAAUGAGUGUGAGUGUGAUUGGAUUACUCACUGCUUGAAUGGGGAACCCUUCUUCUACCAAACCAGCCUCUGUCGGCAUGCCUUUACCAUGGAACCCGUUUCAACGAAGAUCAGAACAAGGGGGCUUGUCUUGAAAGAAUUAAGUUUAAUGCAGUAGCUUAAGUCAUCUUGUCCCCUUACUACAAGGUGGUGCUUGCCGCUAGUCCUGCUCAAAGGCAGAGUCAUGGAACCGAGGGAUGUAUGUGAGGUAAAGCCUUACAAAGGAAAGCCCCUCAAUGAGGAAAUGUAAGGCCAGAACAAUGAAAAUAUAACUACUUCUGCUACAAACCACUUGGUCCAACAUAAAAGUGCACACUAGGCCACUAUUCUCCCAGCAGGCCCAUAUAGGAACGUAGGGGCAUUUGGGCGUUGAGGGAGCCCAGGGUCAGUUUGGGGGAUUCCCUUGAUGAAUCAGAACACGCGUGGUUUAACUGUCCU
ensembl:lncRNA